rnacentral:rRNA from 1 species
GACGAACGCUGGCGGCGUGCUUAACACAUGCAAGUCGAACGGAGUGGCCAACGGGUGAGUAACACGUGGGUGAUCUGCCUUGCACCUCGGGAUAAGCUUGGGAAUCUGGGUCUAAUUCCGGUUAGUGCAAGCUGAGCUCGCGGCCUAUAAGCUUGUUGGUGGGGUAAUGGCCUACCAAGGCGUCGACGUGUAGCCGGCCUGAGUGGGUGUACGGCCACAUUGGGACUGUGAUGCGGCCCGAACUCCUACGGGAGGCAGCAGUGGGGAAUAUUGCACGAUGGGCGGAAGCCUGAUGCAGCGACGCCGCGUGGGGGAUGAAGGCCUGCGGGUUGUAAACUCCUUUCGACAGGGACGCGGUACCUGGAUAAGAAGCACCGACUAACUACGUGGCAGCAGCCGCGGUAAUAC